AGGUUUCAACUGCACCAUUCACUUUCCCAUGAAGGUCAACUGACCACAAUCCUGUCAAGUCUUUCUGAACAACAAUGUCAUCAUCAAGAAAAAGGAUCUUAUUCAAUUUUGGAUAAACCUGAGGGAGAUAAAACCUUAGGUGAUUGAGCAUAGAAAGAUAUUUGGGGUUCCGGUACUUCAAAUUCAGGUGAUUAAGCAUUGAAAGAUAUUUGGGGUUCCGGUACUUCAAAUUAGAAGAACCAGCAGACAGGGUGUUGGGAUGAGCUGCUUUGAAAUAGUACUCCUUCAUAGCAGCAGAUUCAAGCUGCCGCAGAACAGGACAAUAUGAUGAAUUAAG
rnacentral:lncRNA from 1 species